GACGAACGCUGGCGGCGUGCUUAACACAUGCAAGUCGAACGGUAAGGCCCUUCGGGGUACACGAGUGGCGAACGGGUGAGUAACACGUGGGUGAUCUGCCCUGCACUUCGGGAUAAGCCUGGGAAACUGGGUCUAAUACCGGAUAGGACCACUGCCUGCAUGGGUGGUGGUGGAAAGCUUUUGCGGUGUGGGAUGGGCCCGCGGCCUAUCAGCUUGUUGGUGGGGUGAUGGCCUACCAAGGCGACGACGGGUAGCCGGCCUGGGAGGGUGACCGACCACACUGGGACUGGGAUGCGGCCCAGACUCCUACGGGAGGCAGCAGUGGGGAAUAUUGCACAAUGGGCGCAAGCCUGAUGCAGCGACGCCGCGUGAGGGAUGACGGCCUUCGGGUUGUAAACCUCUUUCAGCACCGACGAAGCGCAAGUGACGGUAGGUGCAGAAGAAGGACCGGCCAACUACGUGCCAGCCGCCGCUGUAA
rnacentral:rRNA from 1 species